rnacentral:rRNA from 1 species
CUACGGGGGGCAGCAGUGGGGGAUAUUGCACAAUGGAGGAAACUCUGAUGCAGCGACGCCGCGUGAGUGAUGAAGUAUUUCGGUAUGUAAAGCUCUAUCAGCAGGGAAGAAAGGCUCCGUAUGGAGAGAUGACGGUACCUGAGUAAGAAGCCCCGGCUAACUACGUGCCAGCAGCCGCGGUGAAUACGUAGGGGGCGAGCGUUAUCCGGAUUUACUGGGUGUAAAGGGAGCGCAGACGGAUGUGCAAGUCUGAUGUGAAAGCCCGGGGCUCACCCCCGGGACUGCAUUGGAAACUGUAGAUCUGGAGUAUUGGAAGGGCAAGCGGAAUUCCUGGUGUAGCGGUGAAAUGCGUAGAUAUCAGGAGGAACACCGGUGGCGAAGGCGGCUUGCUGGACAAUAACUGACGUUGAGGCUCGAAAGCGUGGGGAGCAAACAGGAUUAGAUACCCCUGUAGUC